rnacentral:tRNA from 1 species
GGAGAGGUGGCAGAGUGGUCGAAUGCGCCGGAUUCGAAAUCCGGUGUACGUCUCCGACGUACCGUGGGUUCGAAUCCCACCCUCUCCGCCA